AGUAGCUGCGAGCGAACAGGGAGGAGCCCAGCACUGAAUCCCGUAGGCCUCGCCUACUGGGAGAUGUGGUGUUUGGGAGGGUUCGUUACACCCGACAUUGUUUGCACAGCGUCCAAGUCCAUCUUGAACGAGGCCACGGUCCCGAGAGGGUGCCAGGCCCGUAGUUGGCCUGUGCCGGUGUCUGGGUGAACCUCUCCUUAGAGUCGGGUUGCUUGAGAGUGCAGCCCAAAGCGGGUGGUAAACUCCAUCUAAGGCUAAAUACAACCACGAGACCGAUAGCGAACAAGUACCGUGAGGGAAAGUUGAAAAGGACUUUGAAGAGAGAGUUCAAGAGUACGUGAAACCGCUCAGGGGUAAACGGAAAAGACCCGAAAUUCCGAAAAGGGAGAUUCACGUCUGCUCGCGUGCUCGGCACUUGUCGCGUCUGGACGGCCAUUUGUGCCCCCGUUUGUGCGCAAGCUCAAGCGGUCGGGUCUGGUUGCCGGCGCGCAGGUGUUUCCCGAGCCGCGGCGGACCGCACUUCUCCCUUAGUAGGACGUCGCGACCCGCUCGUCCGUGGUCUACGGCUGAGCAAGACGCCUGACGCUCGCCCUUGGGUUCGCCCCAAUUGCUUGCGUCAGACUUGCUCGUGCUUCCUGGCCACGGUUUUUUUUUUACGAACGGUAUCGAAUACCGGUGUCGAGCCGCUUCUAAGCGAGACCUCUCGUACGGAAGCGUCCUAGGCAGAGGGCAAGGUUUCUGAGUCUCUAAAAACGUAAGUUUUGAAGCCAAGACGUUUGUUUUCUGUUCGUCUGGCUGAGCUCGGGCCUGUUGGUUCUCUGUCCUUGGGCUGGCUCAUUCCCAUUGCGCGGAGAAAGGCACCAGUCAGCGGCGAUCUAGUUUUGGGCUCUUUUCCGACCCGUCUUGAAACACGGACCAAGGAGUUUAGCGUGCUCGCGAGUCAUUGGGUGUUACAAAACCUAAAGGCGAAAUGAAAGUAAAGAGAGUCCUUUCGUGACUCUCGAGGGAGGAUGAGCUACUGCUCUGGUCGUUCUAACCGGCGGCUGAGCGUGUCUCCGCACUCCCGGGGCGACUCUUUCUCAUUGCGAGUGGAGGCGCACCAAGAGCGAGUACGCUGAAACCCGAAAGAUGGUGAACUAUGCCUUGCCAGGACGAAGCCAGGGGAAACCCUGGUGGAGGUCCGCUAGCGAUUCUGACGUGCAAAUCG
rnacentral:rRNA from 1 species